CCAGGGUCAUGCAAUUGUAUAAGGAGAAUACAUUUGGAAAAGGAUAAGCAUCGCAGAAGAAACAGCAAAAGAAUGGACGCAGAAGUACAUUUUAGUGGGGGCCUCCAGUAUCAAGAUGAAUGUAAAAUAACAAUUGGCCUGGUAAUAUAAUGUUCAUCCUGAACUAGUAAACAAGAACCUUUAUCCUUUGAAAGGAAAGAACAGUUAACCUCCAAAUGUUUAAAAGGAUAGAAUGAGGUAAACAGUCUAAAGGUACCACCCUUUUUCCCAUGCUCUUCCUUCAAAAUUACUGUCCAAGUGUCGAGCAAGUAUCUCAGACAUCUAUAAGAUGCAGGGGUGGAGCCAAAAAUUUUAUCCAGCUUUGGCACUCAACAAGCUCAAGUUUGCUUACCAUCAUUUCACUCUCUAUAUAAAAAGAAUAUAACACAAGUUUGGGUUUCGAUUGUUUAAGGAGGAAAUGGCUAUUUUGCCCUUUAUGUUGAGUUGCAAGCUAAGUUGACAUCUGUUCCUUUGAUUUUCUAAUUUUUUGACAUCUGUCUUUCCUGCUUCUGCCCUCUUUUAUCUUCACGGUACUUGUUUCUCUCCUCUUUUAGUAUCACAGUAACAACGAGCUCCAAAAAAGACGGAUAAUCAACCGUGCCCAAUCUUCUCAAUAGCUAAACAUUGAUGUCGGCAAACAGCAUUCUCGCCGAUGCCAAGACCCUCUUGUUUGCAACUACAGGCAUAAAGUGCCCGACUAAAUGUCAAUAGCCAGCACAAUCAGCUUGACCUGUUGGGCAGGUGGAUACAACAUCUCUCAAUAAACGUUCAAGCGAAAAAGAGUAUUUCAUUCAACUCAAAAGGUCAAACUUUUGAAAGACGAUACAAGACUACACAUUACUAUAUGAUCAUUACUGUGUUGGACGAGCUUACAAGCAUGUAGCAAACACAACUCUCCUAUCUUCUGCAUGAAAUUUUUGGUAGUGUAUUAGGAAAUUUUUGGUGGUGUAUUAGACUCUUCUAACGAUCCAUAUUAUUAUAUGUGGAUCUUUUAUGUUAGACAGCUGUACAUUGGAUGGUUGUAUAUUAGAAAGUUGUCAUAGGAGACGCAAAAACUAUUUACUUUGCAAAAACCUAUGUACAUAAAAGCUGUAGUUAUAGACAUUAUUUUGUGAAUA